CUGCUUAGGGGGACCAGGAUGUUCAAUGCCACUGACCUGCAAAGGACCAGAGGUCACUUGCUCCAGAUGGCUUCUGAUGCACAGCAACUCCCUUGGGUCACCAAAAUGACAUCACAAUUCCCUCUGGCCCUGGCUGUUCUGACCCAGGGGUUGCUGCAUCAGCUGAAGGAAGUGGAGCCCUGACGUAAUGCUUUGGCUAUUCCAGCCAAACAAGCACUGGUCCUACUGAAAAAUGAUCUUGUCUCAUUAUCUGUCUUGAUUAAAUUUAUCAAAUAAUG